GGAUGUAGCUCAGUUGAUAGAGUGCUUGCCUUGCAUGCACAAGGCCCUGGGUUCAAUCCCCAGCACCA
rnacentral:tRNA from 1 species